GGAGAGGAGGAAAGUUACUGCGGAUUUUGUCACGCCGGAGAGGAGGAAGGUUACUGCGAAUUUUGUCACGCCGGAGAGGAAGAAAGCUACAGCGGAUUUUUAUACACCGGAGAGGAGUAAAGUUGCGGCGGAAUUGAGCACACCAGCGAGAGAUCGGACUGAGAAUGUCAAGACAAGUGAUCAGCAUAGGUGGCCAGGGAGG
rnacentral:misc_RNA from 1 species